rnacentral:sRNA from 1 species
AUUUGGUGAGUUAACAUGGGUCCAUGCCAUUGUGAGGAUUUUUCUAGGCUCAGGUGUAACUGGUUUCUUGCCCUGCAGUGACAGACAAGAAGUGGACUGAGCUGGAUACCAACCAGCACCGGACCCAUGCCAUGAGGCUCCUGGAUGGCUUGGAAGUCACUGCUAGGGAGAAGAGACUCAAGGUGGCUCGAGCAAUUCUCUAUGUUGCUCAAGGCACGUUUGGGGAGUGCAGCUCGGAGGCAGAGGUGCAGUCCUGGAUGCGCUACAACAUCUUUCUCCUCUUGGAGGUGGGCACGUUCAAUGCUUUGGUGGAGCUUCUGAACAUGGAAAUAGAGUGAGCAUUUUUGAGAGGCUGAGUAGGGAAGGGGAGGCUGGGAUGGGAAGGGGGACAGAGUUUGCAGAACUAACUGGCUUUGAGAGGGUUAAAUGGGGCAGAAGUUCUGGUCCCAGGCUGUGUUCUGACCACCUGGGUUGAAUAACGGAGUUGGUCACUUACACCUUGAAGACUAAUGGAGACUAAUGACAGGUCCCUGCAG